UACGGAGGGUGCAAGCGUUAUCCGGAUUCACUGGGUUUAAAGGGUGCGUAGGUGGGCAGGUAAGUCAGUGGUGAAAUCUCCGGGCUUAACUCGGAAACUGCCGUUGAUACUAUCUGUCUUGAAUAUCGUGGAGGUAAGCGGAAUAUGUCAUGUAGCGGUGAAAUGCUUAGAUAUGACAUAGAACACCGAUUGCGAAGGCAGCUUACUACACGAUCAUUGACACUGAGGCACGAAAGCGUGGGGAGCAAACAGG
rnacentral:rRNA from 1 species